AUUUAAUUUUCUUCCCGGAACAAGCACUGUGUAGAAAAACAUGAUGUGCUUAUUGGACCAGUGUAAAUUUAUAAUUCAAAAACAUUACUCUUGUCAACAACUUUAUAUCUAUGCGAAAAAAUUGAUAUUCUAUUGUGUAAAACUGAAAGUGUGCAUCGAAUUAAUUAGUGUACGUUGUGUGACAUCCAAUGUAAACAAUUUAACAAUGGCAACCAGAACAAAUCCCUACAACAAUGUGGAGGUGGAACUAACAGAAAAAGACCCGUUUGUCAGUGUGAAAACGGCAAAGAGUCGCAAGCCAAAGAUUUACAGAUCUGAGAAGUCAGUUUAUACCAGCAAGAGAAUAUAUUGAAAACAAUAUCUUAAAUAAUGACGCCUUUGACAAAUGUUAUGCUGGGCAAACUGGCGAGGAAAAAACUAGAUUUCUUCGGUGUGCUGAGACACUUUGUUCAAAGGUUACAGAAGAGGAAAGACUUGGAAUCUCUUCUUCCUUACUAAAUAUCAAUGACCAGAACUUCAAAAAAUGUGUGUUCAGAGCCAUUCAGGAAUCAUUGUUAGAGAUGACCCUGGAUGAAACAAAAGUGGAUAUCAUUGACAGGUGCUUGGUCUAUGUUAUACAGCAUUUAAAGGACUCGGAGGACGAAGACACACUUCAAACACACAUUGUUACUAUUGACACAGUGAUUAGGUGCUGCGCUGCAUCCGCCAUACUUACUGCGAUUACAAAAAAACGAAGAAAGAUUCUUUUAGCAAAAUCAGCAAAAGCUGUUCAUCAAUCAAUAAAAUCUGGAAUAAAAUGGCCUCUAGAAAAGCCAUGAAAACAGAAUAUCCGGCCUGUUAUCAGUUGCUCAAAGGCUCAAUGUCUCUUGUUGCGGCCUUCGGAAAACUCAGAUUUGGAAAACAAUUUGAGGAGCUCUUCAAAUGUUUCGAUUCAACUUUCUCUUUAUCGAAACAUGACAGGAUUGUGGCAGACAUUGGGCAGAGAGGAUGUAUUAUGGAACAAUUGGUUGUUACUUUUGGAAUUGUGUCAAAGAUGUCAGCAAACCCUCCAGAUAUGUGUAAAAGGUUUAUACAGUUCAUAGGACAAAUUCUCAAUCAACGUAAAGUACAGAGAAGUCUGCUACGUACAGAUGAAGAUUUUCAACAACUAGGAUUUUUAAUUCUUUCCGGCAUUGCCUUUAUAUACAGGAAAUUUCCUCAAAUGCAAUCACCCAAUCUUCAGAAAAUAGUUGAAGAUGUGUAUUUGCUACAAAACACCCAUCUGAAAAUUCCGGAAGAAAUGACGGAUCUGAUUUUGUCUUUGAAUGCAGCCAUCGCUCAACGACUGAUCCUCUGUCUUAAUCUAUCGGAGGAAAGAAUGUUGCAUUUAGCUGAAGACUACAUUGAAAAAGUGCUUCCAGGUCUAGUUAUCUACAACACUAACCGAAAACAUCUCCAAAAACUAUCAGAUCAUUCUCAUUGGGUGCUAUCCGCUGGUCGCUUUUUUUCACACAUCAUACGAAUAGGCAUUCUUAUACCAGGAAUUGCAAAUAGUCAGUUUAAAACCAACAAAUCUGUGGAUGAUAGCAAGAGAAUAGAAAACGAGUUCGACAUUUUGUUGAAAUUACAGAAUGGAGAAACUCAUUUGAAUAUUGUCGAAUGUUAGCUUUCAACCCUUUACAGAGCCGGUUACAUUUUCACGUAAUUGAGCAUUACUCUACAUCACUUAUUGACAAAGUCAUUGAAUCAAGGUUACGCCAAGAAUAUCUCCCAGAGGACUGGAUGAACGGUCGCCUUUUAGAUGUUGCUUGUGGACUUAAUUUUCUUCACCAGAGAAGCAUAAUACACAGAGAUAUUACUUUGAACUCAUUUUCUCUAAAACCCAUUUCGCCUGACCAUGAGAUAGCCGUUCUUUGUAAUCUAGAGAUGGCUUGUUCUAGUAGCAAUGAAGCAUCAACAAUUGUUGGUCAUAUUGCAGAUGUUCACGGAGAAAAUAUCCCUACAAGGUGGUCAGCCCCUGAAUCUCUGUGGGACUGCACAUUUGACGUCAACACAGAUUCCUGGAUGUUUGGUCACGUGAUUCAUUCCCUGUUCACUUAUGGGUGUGAGCCAUAUACAGAACUAUACAGCGAGACAACAGCUGAAAUCAUGGCAAAAGUUGUGUCUUGCGAAUUGAAGCCUUACAAAUGGCCAUGUAUCCCUUUGUCCUAUCACAAACUAGCCGCAAACUGUCUGCUGUUUGAGAAAGACAAGAGACCAAGCAUGCAGAUAAUUAUACAACAGUUAGAACAGCUAAACAAGACCAACUAAAAAAGGAUUAUUAUGAAUAUAAAAGAUUGCCAAGUAUUUCAAAUAAACAGGAAGAGAGAAGACAUGUACCUAAAAGGUUAUGUCUUGUACUUGAAGGGAAUUCCUGAAACGAUAAAGAAGAUGAAAAACUGCCCUGGAAGUAAGCGAGAUACAUAUAUUGAGAUAAAGAAACGUAUACCACAUAGUCCUAACCCAGACUAUGCUCCUCUGAUCUUUGAUCAAAAGGAUGUCAAAGCUCCCAAUGAACCAAUUAUCAGACAAAAGAGAUUCGAAUUAGGCGUACAAGAAAAAGUGACGGUGAAAUUUCACGACAAAAUACUUCCUAUCAUGAGCCAUGACUUUGCGGAGAAAAUGGGCAUCUUGGAAUGGCCACCAGAAAAACGAGUUAAUCAUGGUGGUUCUGCAAAGGAUGAAGUAGAAAUUACAUUGAAUUACAGAGUUCCAACAGCCAAAAACAUUUUGGACUUGUCCCCACAGUUAAACGAUUAUCAAAUUAACAGCAUUGACAUCGAUAUCAUUUAUAACAUCACCAGUCUUGUGGAAAAAAUGCACCAAAAACGUUGGAUAAUGGUUGACAUAGUUGGAAAGUAUAUACAUAUUCAGGAAAACAACAAUUUUAAGGUGUGUCAGUUACGGAUUGGGCGUAUGGUAAGACUGCCAACUGAUGAAGACAGUGUCAUGUUGGAAAGUUAUGAACUCCACGAUAUUAUGCAUUGGUUACCAAUGGAAGUAAUAGGACAUGGCGAAGUUUCUACCGGUAGUGACGUAUAUACUUUGGCAAUGCUGUUUUACGAGUUUUAUAUGGCGUUGUGUGGAACAGAUUUUCUGCAAUGUCGUCCAUUUUCAAAGAUGCAUCCGUCACGAGUACAUACUUUUAUUUUUGCAAAUGAAUUUUUCUAUAGUCAACUUUCCUUACUUAUGUAGCAAUAUACCUUCAUCAUCUGAU
rnacentral:misc_RNA from 1 species